rnacentral:rRNA from 1 species
GACGAGGGAUCCUAGCGUUGUUCGGAAUCACUGGGCGUAAAGCGUUUGUAGGCGGCUCCGUAAGUCGGGUGUGAAAUCCCACGGCUCAACCGUGGAAGUGCAUUCGAAACUGCAGAGCUUGAAUAUGGUAGAGGAGAGUAGAAUACCUGGUGUAGUGGUGAAAUACGUAGAUAUCAGGUGGAAUACCGGUGGCGAAGGCGACUCUCUGGACCAAUAUUGACGCUGAGAAACGAAAGUGCGGGGAUCAAACAGG